GGCUCGGGCGUCGACAAGGGCUCGUCCAAGUCCGCCGAGCAGGAGCGCCGGAAGGGGAUCGCCUGGACCGAGGACGAGCACAGAGAAGAAGGAAAAUGAUCACUAGAAGGCUUAAAUAAUUCAGGUUCCUCCUUUCCAGGUUCUCUGAUUCUCUCUCAAGAUCCCAUCUUGCUGCAUAAUCUGUGGAAAGAAGAUCACAACGGUGGCUUGCCCGAGUUUCACCUCUAAGCUUUGAACUUGAAGCUGCAUUGAAGUUGGCUAGAUAUUUGUGCAGGUCCUGCUCCCUGGCAUCUCGGGCUAUCGCUGUUGGCAUGGCGGUCUCAUCACCAUCAGGUUCAGGGUUCGAAGAAAAUGAGCAGAGUAUGUGUUUCCGAUUUUUGAGAAAAAGAUCAAAACAUUUGUGUGCAUAUCAGGUUUAAGCUAUGGAUGUUGGUGAAAUUCCAUCCAGGAUUCCAGGGUGAUGAUCAAGGCGCCCCUCACCGUUCGCAGUUUCCAAAGCUAUUAACAACACCAUACCCACCAAGGGCAAAGGGACAUUCUCUCCGACAACAUGUCAUAAACAUUAUUCCGAUGGACAAGUCCGACUAUACAACCAACAACCUUUGACA